rnacentral:rRNA from 1 species
UACGUAGGGUGCGAGCGUUAAUCGGAAUUACUGGGCGUAAAGCGUGCGCAGGCGGUUUUGUAAGACAGAUGUGAAAUCCCCGGGCUCAACCUGGGAAUUGCAUUUGUGACUGCAACGCUAGAGUACGGUAGAGGGGGGUGGAAUUCCGCGUGUAGCAGUGAAAUGCGUAGAUAUGCGGAGGAACACCGAUGGCGAAGGCAGCCCCCUGGACCUGUACUGACGCUCAUGCACGAAAGCGUGGGGAGCAAACAGG